rfam:Gossypium arboreum cultivar AKA8401 contig_10028_3, whole genome shotgun sequence.
UGUUAAAAAUUUUAUUCAUUUUUACUAUUAAAAUCUAAUGUCGCUGACAAAACAAUCAGACAAUUACACUAAGCAUACCACAUGUCCCUCAUGUUGAGGUAUAGGGACCAAUUUUUAACAGUAGAAAUUGAAUAAGUUUUUAAUA